rnacentral:lncRNA from 1 species
AAAACACAAAAGGAAAAAAAGGAAAAGAAAAGAAAAGAAAGAAAACCUAAACAAUUGCCGAAGAAAAAUGCAGCCUUUCCCCCCUAAAUCUCUCUACACCCACAACUUACAUUUCUCCCAAAAUUGAAAUUCAGAGUCGGUACUCUGUCGGCACCUCACCAUCUCCGGCAGUACUACAAUCGAAGGUGUCGCCGUCGCUCCGGCUCUUACCUUAAUGGGUUCUCGCUUUUUUCGUUUUUCUGUUACGUAGAGGCCUAAAUGUUUUCCAUUUUUUUUUUCAAGUUGUAUGUACUUCGUCAUAGGAUGUGGCGAGUAAACAUACAAUGAGGAUGUUACGAAUUCUUAACAGAAUCUGUAGUGAAGCACUCGCCAAGUAUUAGAUCACGUCUAGCAUUUUGUUUCUAAAAGAACAGUGUCCUGUCGGGUACAUCUUUCAUCACUAGAUCUAUGGAUAAAGGAUAUUGACUUGAUGGGAUGUUUACAUGGUCCUAGAACUUGCAUAGUUGUUUUUUUAUUCUUCUAUGGAAAGCCAAAUGCUACAAUUUUGUCGUAAUCUGUUCCAUUUUUUGUAGACGCUUAACUUAUUCUAUCUCAAUUCUCAUUUUGACAAUUUUUUCUUCUAGCUACUUUCUAUGAUUAUGAUGCUGAUGGGUUUGUAUUGUUUCUUGAUUGCAUUGUGUUACAUUAUUAAUUUGGAGAAAUUUAGAAAUUAGAUGUUUGUUUAUUUGAGUUUUCACUUAAAUUCUAAUCUUGCUUUCAAAUCUAACCUUAUUGCUUCAACCAAAUUUCAAUUUUUUGACUUACUUUUUAUCAACUGAAAUAUAUUUAUAUGGUGUUUUACUUAAUUUUUGUGCCUCCAAAGUUCCUUGCAAUUUAGUAAAACUUUGUGAUAGGCAACUUUUAUCUGAUUCUCUUUUCUCGAUCUCAUCAUACCUUUUGUUGAAAGCCAAAUUGUGUUGAUUCUUUUCUUGACGGGAAAGCGUUUUCCACUUCCGUAUCUUCUCUACUUCUAUUGCUAGUUGAUAUGAUAUAUUGCCAUUUAAGAGAUUCAAUUUUGUUUAUCAAGUUGUGAUAGGCUUGUGGGUUCUGUCAAUUGUGGGCAGCUUGUGCAACUUCUUGACGUUGUUCUAUCUAUGUAAGGAAUUUCUUUGUCUUUAAAAGGGUAACCUGGUUUCUUGUUCACUAACAUUUCAUGCUGACCGUGAUAUGUGGUUUAUUCUCCUCGUAGAAUGGGUGGACAGAAUUAUGGAAUUUGUCACAGUUAGAGAGCUAAGGGCCACUCCUUUGUUGAAUGUCCACGAAAACGUCGAUGCCCAUUAUGCAAGCAUGGAUUCGAGAACUGUUUCGUGGUAGAGAAAGAGACAGUCUAUAAAUGCGAUUAUUCCUUUGUUGCAGUGCCAAGUAUGGAUUUUGGGACUAGGUUGUGAAAGAAUAAUCAUCAAUCGGCCAAUCCUCUACCAUUAGCACUUCCUCAGUUAACCUAGCGACAAACUAAAUAGUUGAAGAUGUGGAACGCAUGUUCUAAUCUUGAGUUCGCCUCAAUGACGAAGAAGAACUAUGAAUUUCGAUGAUCGUGACAAUUAGCAAGGUGAAUGGAAACGCGGAAGGAAAUGCAAAAGGGGUUAGUGUGAGAAUUGUUAUUACAUGGGGAUUUAGGAAAUUAUAUCUUUUGUCUCGUAUUGUUGUGUAAACUUGUUUCGGCAUUCAAUUUAGUUAAGACUGUGUUAAAAUACAUUUUUCUUGUUACUCGCCUAACUUUCAUGGUGACCAAGCUAACUGAUUGCUACUCUAGUUAUCCCAUAUGUUGUGAAGUUCAUUUUUAUAAUUGUUUGAUGCCAAUUGUUAUUAUGAACCUAUAAUUAGUUGGUCUUGUGAGGCAAGUUCCAGAGUUUGAAGGGA